CAUCAACUGUAUGUAAUAUACUGACUAUGGGUAGGAAAAUUAAAUUCAACUUGGUUGUCCUCCAUAGUGAUACAGUUUAACAUGUUUUUGACAUAGAAGUAGAAAUAGAAGCAUUGCUUUCUAACAGCUUUUGGGCAGAAAUGACAGUAAUAAAAAUCUUUUUUUUUUUUUUUUACCACAAAAUAAGCUAAGUUUUACAUGUUUCUCACACAGAUAUUGCUUUCUAAGGGCUUUUGGAAAGAAAUGGCAUCUUAAGUUAUGAAAGUGAAAAAAAAUCACCUUUUCACUUUGAAAUAAGCUUAAAUUAACACAUUCUGCUCUUGAAUGCACCUCAGUCUCUCCCUGACAAUCAGCCACACCUGCUCUCACUCUCCUGAUCACCCACACCUGCAGCUCAUCCCCAGCAAUCAAGCCGACAUAAAAGCCUCAGUCCCACACUCACCAGUUGCCAGAUUGCACUUUGCCAUGCAAGACUUUCCAGCGGUUUCCUGCCUGACUCUAUGCUUCUGACCCUGUUUGUUCCCGACCUGCCUGCUCUGUCUGAUCCCCGGUGGAUGUCCACUGCGAUCUCCAGUCUGCAGUGCUCUUCUGUGUCUUGCAGGCUUUUGAACUGUGCCCUUGUCCAGCCUGCUUUUUCAGAGACUGUCUUAAGUUCUCACCAGAGAGAUCACUCAACUGCUAUCUUAAAGACUCAAUGAACUGUGCUCUUGUCAGACUAUUCUCUGCUGUCUGCCCUGAACCUGGCUGUGUGCUGAAAAUAAAAGAAGCUGUGAUUGAACUGA